rnacentral:rRNA from 1 species
GUUAGGAAUAUUGGACAAUGGGCGAAACCCUGACCCAGCAACGCCGCGUGAAGGAAGAAGGUUUUCGGAUCGUAAACUUCUAUCCUUGGUGAAGAUAAUGACGGUAGCCAAGAAGGAAGCCCCGGCUAACUACGUGCCAGCAGCCGCGGUAAUACGUAGGGGGCAAGCGUUGUCCGGAAUGAUUGGGCGUAAAGGGCGCGUAGGCGGCCUGGUAAGUCUGGAGUGAAAGUCCUGCUUUUAAGGUGGGAAUUGCUUUGGAUACUGUGGGGCUUGAGUGCAGGAGAGGUAAGCGGAAUUCCCGGUGUAGCGGUGAAAUGCGUAGAGAUCGGGAGGAACACCAGUGGCGAAGGCGGCUUACUGGACUGUAACUGACGCUGAGGCGCGAAAGUGUGGGGAGCAAACAGGAUUAGAUACCCUGGUAGUCC